rnacentral:rRNA from 1 species
CCUACGGGUGGCAGCAGUGGGGAAUAUUGCACAAUGGGGGGAACCCUGAUGCAGCAACGCCGCGUGAAGGAAGACGGUUUUCGGAUUGUAAACUUCUAUCAAUAGGGAAGAAAGAAAUGACGGUACCUAAAUAAGAAGCCCCGGCUAACUACGUGCCAGCAGCCGCGGUAAUACGUAGGGGGCAAGCGUUAUCGGGAUUUACUGGGUGGAAAGGGAGCGUAGACGGGUAAUUAAGUCAUAUGUGAAAACCCAGGGCUCAACCUUGGGACUGCUUUUGAAACUGAGUAGCUAGAGUGCAGGAGAGGUAAGCGGAAUUCCGAGUGGAGCGGUGAAAUGCGUAGAUAUUAGGAGGAACACCAGUGGCGAAGGCGGCUUACUGGACUGUAACUGACGUUGAGGCUCGAAAGCGUGGGGAGCAAACAGGAUUAGAUACCCCGGUAGUC